GCUGACGAAGGGCUACUACCUGGACCUGUGUGCAAGGACAAGAUUCCCCUGAGACUGCUCUGGAAACCCAAUCACUGAAAUAAUAGUUGAUAACUGUUAUGGUUUCUGACACUCAAGUUGAAACUCGAUUGCCUUUGCAGUGGUGUUGGGAAGUAGGACCUAGUGGGAUGAUGGUUGUGGGGUAGAGCCCUCAUGAAGAGAUGGAUGUCUUUUGGAAGGAAGGAUCGGCUCAUACAGGGAUCUGCACACCUGUUCCCUGUUCCAGAAGUGCACACUUGCCCUUUUCACUUUCUGCUAUGGACUGAAGUACCAUAAAGCCAUCAUCAGAUGCAGCUGCCUGAUAUUGGACUUCCCAACCUUCAGAACCAUGAGCUAAGGAGGGCUUUAUUUAUUUACUAAGAAAAUCUACUGAUAUCCCUCCUGUUUUCUGCCAAACCUCACCAGAUGCAGAUGUGCCACUAAGUCUUCAUGUCAUCCAACAAGUGCUACCAGGUCUGG